rnacentral:tRNA from 1 species
GGAGUAGCUCAAUCGGUAGAGCAACUGACUUGUAAUCAGUAGGUUGCGGGUUCAAGUCCCAUCUCC